rnacentral:rRNA from 1 species
UACAGAGGGGGCAAGCGUUGUUCGGAAUUACUGGGCGUAAAGGGCGCGUAGGCGGCCUUCUAAGUCGAACGUGAAAUCCCCGGGCUCAACCCGGGAACUGCGUCCGAUACUGGAAGGCUUGAAUCCGGGAGAGGGAUGCGGAAUUCCAGGUGUAGCGGUGAAAUGCGUAGAUAUCUGGAGGAACACCGGUGGCGAAGGCGGCGAGUCCUGGACCGGCAUUGACGCUGAGGCGCGAAAGCCAGGGGAGCAA